rnacentral:rRNA from 1 species
ACGUAGGUGGCAAGCGUUGUCCGGAAUUAUUGGGCGUAAAGCGCGCGCAGGCGGUCCUUUAAGUCUGAUGUGAAAGCCCACGGCUCAACCGUGGAGGGUCAUUGGAAACUGGGAAACUUGAGUGCAGAAGAGGAGAGUGGAAUUCCUGGUGUAGCGGUGGAAUGCGCAGAUAUCAGGAGGAACACCAAUAGCGAAGGCAGCUCGCUGGGACGGUACUGACGCUAAGGCGCGAAAGCGUGGGGAGCAAACAGGA